UAGCCAAGCGGUAAGGCAACGGGUUUUGGUCCGCUAUUCGGAGGUUCGAAUCCUUC
rnacentral:tRNA from 1 species